rnacentral:tRNA from 5 species
GCCCGACUGAUGUAGCGGUUUAUCAUACUGUCUUCACACGACAGAGGUCGUCGGUUCGAACCCGACGUCGGGCA